rnacentral:rRNA from 1 species
UACGGAGGGUGCUAGCGUUGUUCGGAAUUACUGGGCGUAAAGCGCGUGUAGGCGGCCGAUUAAGUCUGGUGUGAAAGCCCGGGGCUCACCCCCGGAAGUGCGCUGGAAACUGGUCGGCUAGAGUAUGGGAGAGGAAAGUGGAAUUCCCGGUGUAGCGGUGAAAUGCGUAGAGAUCCGGAAGAACACCGGUGGCGAAGGCGGCCUGCUGGGCAGUUUAGCUGACACUGAGGCGCGACAGCGUGGGGAGCAAACAGG